AAUAUAAUUUCAAGAUUGGCAAAUAAAAUAAUUAUAAUCUAUAUAUAAACUGCAUAGCAAACUGAAGUUCUACUAAUACAUAGAAAUCGAGAAAAAAUAUAUAAUAAGUCGCAAAAUUUACAAUGUUAAAAUAUGUAAGACGAUUGUGCCACAAUAACACAAAUCAUCCUUGAUUAUAUCCGCCACCUAUUAUGAAAUACAAAGUAAAGAAGAAAAAUAUCAGCUUCGAGGAAAACUUUAAGUGCUUGGACAGAAUGUACCUCAUCAAAAUCACCCGGAGUUAACCUUUCAAUUGAAUAGAUAGGUUUGAAAAAGAUAGAUUGAAAUAAAAGUAGAGAAUAGAUAAACCAAUCAAUUGAACAGAUAAACCCUAGAAUAGAAAUUCCCAAGUAGCAAUACAAAAUCAUAGCAUAGAAUCAAAACCUUAGACUAUCACGAACAUAAAUUUGCAGGAAGCAACAAAAUUAGGAUUUUAAAUCAUCAAUACCUAGAACAGAGCAACGAACAUUGGAGCAUCAAGCGGCGGAGCAGUGACGACAGCGAAAUGAACGCAGAGCAUCGACAAUAAAGACGAAGGGUGGCGGGUUGGCGACGAGGGAGGAUCCGACUGCCGAGGGUGAAUGUGUGGUUGAAGCCUGCCGCGGACUACCUGUGUCGUGCGGCUAGGCCUGCUAAGAGCGGGGAGUGGCACCGUGGCGGGGGUGACCGGAGGCAGCGGCGGCGGAUCUAAGAGUGGGAGAUGCGAGUGAAGAAGAGAGAGAGAGAGGCGAGAGAAGAGAAUCC
rnacentral:lncRNA from 1 species